rnacentral:rRNA from 1 species
GGGGAAUUUUGGACAAUGGGCGCAAGCCUGAUCCAGCCAUGCCGCGUGCGGGAAGAAGGCCUUCGGGUUGUAAACCGCUUUUGUCAGGGAAGAAAUCUUCUGAGUUAAUACCUCGGGAGGAUGACGGUACCUGAAGAAUAAGCACCGGCUAACUACGUGCCAGCAGCCGCGGUAAUACGUAGGGUGCAAGCGUUAAUCGGAAUUACUGGGCGUAAAGCGUGCGCAGGCGGUUUUGUAAGACAGAGGUGAAAUCCCCGGGCUCAACCUGGGAACUGCCUUUGUGACUGCAAGGCUUGAGUGCGGCAGAGGGGGAUGGAAUUCCGCGUGUAGCAGUGAAAUGCGUAGAUAUGCGGAGGAACACCGAUGGCGAAGGCAAUCCCCUGGGCCUGCACUGACGCUCAUGCACGAAAGCGUGGGGAGCAAACAGGAUUAGAUACCCUGGUAGUCCACGCCCUAAACGAUGUCAACUGGUUGUUGGGAAGGUUCCUUCUCAGUAACGUAGCUAACGCGUGAAGUUGACCGCCUGGGGAGUACGGCCGCAAGGUUG